UCGGUCUCUAUCCGCCGCGCGCGUUAGAAACUUGAGGAAGGCUGUCCCUAGUACGAGAGGACCGGGACGGACGAACCUCUGGUGUGCCAGUUGUUCCACCAGGAGCACGGCUGGUUGGCUACGUUCGGAAGGGAUAACCGCUGAAAGCAUCUAAGCGGGAAGCCUGUUCCAAGAUUAGGUUUCUCACCACCUUGAGUGGGUAAGACCCCCUACAGACUAUGGGGUUGAUAGGCCAGAACUGGAAGCGCAGUAAUGCGUGUAGGUGACUGGUACUAAUCGGUCGAGGGCUUACCACACA
rnacentral:rRNA from 1 species